rnacentral:tmRNA from 1 species
GGGGAUGUAUUUGGUUUCGACAACAUUCCAGAAGUAGAAAUAGCGAGUAGUGGAUUCUCACUUGGCCACUUUAAUCAUGUGAGAAAUAAAAAUAAACGCUGAUAAUAGAGAAUUAGCAUACGCUGCCUAGUCGCGGCGACGUCUUACUCGUAAUGCCCACGUUAUGAGAUAAGGCGACGACUUAGUGGGAAACAAAGCUAUUUUUAGUCAUGAAAAUAGUGGGUAAUCUAAAUGACUACUUCUAUCAUUGCUUUGUUUGUUAAACAAUGGUAGAGGGAAUGAAAAUAACAAACUGCACUCGGAGAAGUUUCUAUGGAAAGAAUGUUGGACAGGGGUCCGACUCCCCUCAUCUCCACCA